rnacentral:rRNA from 1 species
GAUGAACGCUGGCGGCGUGCCUAAUACAUGCAAGUCGAGCGAACAGACGAGGAGCUUGCUCCUCUGACGUUAGCGGCGGACGGGUGAGUAACACGUGGAUAACCUACCUAUAAGACUGGGAUAACUUCGGGAAACCGGAGCUAAUACCGGAUAAUAUAUUGAACCGCAUGGUUCAAUAGUGAAAGACGGUUUUGCUGUCACUUAUAGAUGGAUCCGCGCCGCAUUAGCUAGUUGGUAAGGUAACGGCUUACCAAGGCAACGAUGCGUAGCCGACCUGAGAGGGUGAUCGGCCACACUGGAACUGAGACACGGUCAAGACGCCUACGGGAGGCAGCAGUAGGGAAUCUUCCGCAAUGGGCGAAAGCUUGACGGAGCAACGCCGCGUGAGUGAUGAAGGUCUUCGGAUCGUAAAACUCUGUUAUUAGGGAAGAACAAAUGUGUAAGUAACUAUGCACGUCUUGACGGUACCUAAUCAGAAAGCCACGGCUAACUACGUG